rnacentral:piRNA from 1 species
CGCCAUCUUCAGCAAACCCUGAUGAAGGCUA